rnacentral:rRNA from 1 species
UUGUUGCAGUUAAGAAGCUCGUAGUUGAAUUUCUGCCUUAUCAUUAAUUUCGCUUCCGAACGUAAUUUUAUUGAUUUGGCAUCUUCUGGAUUAUAUAUUAUUUUUAAUAUAUUUUUCCAGUAUUUUACUUUGAGAAAACUAGAGUGUUUCAAACAGGCUUUUGCCUUGAAUACUACAGCAUGGAAUAAUGAAGUAGGACUAUUGGUUCUAUUUUGUUGGUUAUCGAACCAUAGUAAUGGUUAAUAGGAGCAGUUGGGGGCAUUCGUAUUUAACUGUCAGAGGUGAAAUUCUUAGAUUUGUUAAAGACGAACUACUGCGAAAGCAUUUGCCAAGGAUGUUUUCAUUAAUCAAGAACGAAAGUUAGGGGAUCGAAGACGAUCAGAUACCGUCGUAGUCCUAA